GAAAUGCGAUAAGUAGUGUGAAUUGCAGAAUUCAGUGAAUCAUCGAAUCUUUGAACGCACAUUGCGCCCCUUGGUAUUCCAUGGGGCAUGCCUGUUCGAGCGUCAUUUGUACCCUCAAGCUUUGCUUGGUGUUGGGCGUCUUGUCCUCUUCUGGAGGACUCGCCUCAAAACAAUUGGCAGCCGCAUCGAUGAAGAACGCAGCACAAGUCGCACUUCUUUCCAUGAAUGUUGGCAUCCAUCAAGACUAUUUUUUCACUCUAGACCUCGGAUCAGGUAGGGAUACCCGCUGAACUUAA
rnacentral:misc_RNA from 1 species